UGAAGACAAGGAACCUGUGGGAUUAGGGGUUCUUGAAAAGCCUGAGAAUUCAUGGUCACUGCUACGUGAGUUAUUUCCAAGCAAAGCUGGGGGUACUCCGGCUUGGUUGGAUCCAAUAAACUUGCCAACAGGAAAAUCCUGUCUUUGCGAUAUCUGUGGCGAGCCUUUGCAGUUCAUGCUUCAGGUUUACGCACCACUCACGGAGAAGGAUUCGACUUUUCAUCGCACCUUAUUUCUCUUCAUGUGUACAUCAAUGACCUGUCUCCUUAAAGAUCAACAUGAGCAGUGGAAAAGGAACCAAGACAAGCAAUCCAGGAGUGUCAAGGUCUUUCGUUGCCAAUUGCCCCGUGAUAACUCUUUUUACUCCAGUGAACCCCCAAGAAACAAUGGGAAAGAUAAACCUUCUAGUCCUGGAGCUGUUCUCUGUGGCUGGUGUGGUACAUGGAAAGGAGAUAAAGUCUGUGGUGGUUGCCGAAGAGUACACUACUGCUCGGAGAAACAUCAGACUGUUCAUUGGAAAUCAGGUCAUAAACAACGCUGCUUACCCUCAAGCAUUUCUCAGGAUGCAUCUGAACCUAGUAAUAGUAAGACUCUUAGGGAAGUGCAAGAAGUUGCAAGCAAGAGUCUCUGGCCAGAAUAUGAGAUCGCAAUUACUGAUGAAUGUGAGGAUAACGUUUCUGAUGAUAAUGGUCUAGUUAACUCAUUGAUUUCUUCAAGCCGUGUGGAUGAAUCAAUUGAGGCACUUAUGGACAGCUUCGAGGGGGGAGAUGACAAGAAGAGUUGGGCAUCUUUCCAGGAGAGGAUAUCUCGUACCCCUGAGCAAGUAUUAAGGUACUAUAGAGAUGCUGGAGCAAAACCAUUAUGGCCAACGUCAAGUGGCCAACCAUCAAAAGCUGACAUCCCUAAGUGCACCUAUUGUGGCGAUCAUAGGGCUUUUGAAUUUCAGGUUUUACCACAAAUACUCUAUUAUUUUGGUGUGGAAAAUGAUGUGCAUUCUCUUGAUUGGGCUACUAUUGCUGUGUACACCUGUGAAUCCUCGUGCGAUGGACAUAUAGCUUACAAGGAGGAAUUUGCUUGGGUUCAAAUUGCAUCUCAAUCAAGCACAACCCAGAGAUGAGACGCGUAAAGCAUGGUUUGAAACAAGAUUGAUAAUGGACCGCACUCUACCCUUCACUUAAAUACCAGACUUCUGGUUUGCCGUGAGAUUCAACUCAUGAUGUGCACUUAACCUGCACAACAUGCCUCGCGCUAAAAUUUUGUUUUCCUUUAUAUUAAUUUUUCUCAGAUCAUUUUUAGUUUUCCUGGUUAAUUUGCAAACGUUUCACAUUACAACGUCAGUAGUG
rnacentral:misc_RNA from 1 species